UUUUACUUGCUUGGAUACAUUUUGUCAUAGAUAGAUAUUAUAGAGUGUUAUGUACUCUUCCAUACCUAUUCACAUCAAAGCCAAAAGAAAGUGAGAUUCACCCACACUUAUUAGUCACAUCAAUGCCAAAAAGAUAAUUUAUUGGAUGUGUGGCCAAUAAAUGGGUCCAAAUAGUUUGCUCUCUAACUCCUACACAUAUAUCAAUUGACAUAUAUAUAUUAUUAUAACCAAGGGAGCACCACCAUCAACGAAUUGUAUGUCAAGUGAACAUACAUUAAGUAUAGAUGAAUAUACUAUUUGACAAUUAAAGAUAGUACCUUGUACCCAAUAUUUAAUUUUACCCUCAUAUAUAUUACUAUUACUAUCACUUUCUAGGUGAGUGACAUUUAUCAUUCAUCCACUAUUUUUUUGGCUAUAAAUAUGGAGAGUUAGUAUCAUUCUUGCUCACAUUUGUUGGAGCUCCUGGUAAAGUGAGGCUUGAAGUCUUAGAAGGAGACUUUCAAGAGGGAGGAUUGGCCUUCCAUUUAGUUGGGUGUGUGGUCAAGCACCAGGGAGAGUUGAUCAAGUUCUUUAGAUUUUGGAGGAGGAGCGAUAUUGGAACAUUCUAUUGUUUGAUUCUUCUCUUUGAGACAUCACUUUGUGGGAUCACGUUCAUCGUCAACCCGAAGGUAUAUCUCCUCCAAAGAAUUGUGCUAAGUCUCAAGUUGCUAUACUCCAAAGAAGUUUUGAGAUUUUGGGGUGUGAACCUUUAUUUCUACUUUAUCUGACGUCGGAUGAACGAGAUUUUACAGAUCGAUUCAUGGCCCAAUUUUCUUUCACUAUUCCUUUGGCUAGUGACAGUGCUAUGGACCGUUUACACUCACGCAGAUAAAAGACUAGGACGACUCCCAAUGCUGAGAAGGAGGUUGUUACUACUGUUGCUCCUUCUUGUCCUUCUGUGACAGCUAACAAGAGACCAUCUCUGGUUGAGUCGACCGACUGGUUGAGUAAUACGGUUGAUCUUUCUUUCCCAUCUUUAGUGGCUACACAUUCUGAGUUUGGCCUACACCUUGGUGAGGCCAGUAAGCUAUUAUUCCCAGAGGAUUGAGCUCAAUUUGAGAACAUCAGGGAAAUAGCUUCUAUGGAGUUGUCCAUCUCACGCUCCUUUAAGGGUAUGCAAGGGCUUAUGUACGCUUUGGAUAUGAUCAAGAACAUGAAGGAGAAAAUGAAGGUUAUGAGGUCUGAACGUGAUGAUUUACGCGGGGAGAUUAAGGAGCUGAAGGGCUGCAAGAAAGAGCUUGAUCGUGUCAAAGAAGAGUUACGAACUCAACUCAAUGCUAAGUAACAAGAUUCUGAUUGUUUGAAGUCUGCCUUGGCUGAUCUUGCUACUACCCAAGCUCGUGUGGACAUGUUGGGAGGUCGAUUGAUCGAAAUUGGACUGGAGGCUGAGAUCCAGUGUCAUGGAAAAAUGGCGAUGGAGUAUCGAGAAAACAAGGCCGAGUCUUGGGACAUACCCAAGCACAUUGCUAAUUAUGAAAAAUUGCAAUGAAUGAGGGUCGAGGAAGACACUCGAACUAGCCAGCUGGCUAACUCGUUUGAAGGGAUGACUACAAACAAUUUCUCGUCGAAUGACUCAUGUCUAUCUUGAGUUAAUUAUAUGUCAAAUGUUUUAUAUUUUUAAUAUUGUAAUAUGAACUUUUGUCUUGUUGGCUAACUUGCAUGGGUCUAGUACCCUCAUUUCCCCCUUAGUCUAAAUGUAGGUCAGCCGAGUUGGAUUUAGACUUAGUAUUUCGGAAUGAUGUUUGGACUAUGUGGUUCGUUUUAUGCACUAUGCAUCUGUUGUAGUAGAAUAUUGUCUUGAA